UACGAAGGGGGCAAGCGUUGUUCGGAAUUACUGGGCGUAAAGGGCGCGUAGGCGGCCUGCUAAGUCGAACGUGAAAUCCCCGAGCUCAACUCGGGAACUGCGUCCGAUACUGGUUGGCUUGAAUCCGGGAGAGGGACGUGGAAUUCCAGGUGUAGCGGUGAAAUGCGUAGAUAUCUGGAGGAACACCGGUGGCGAAGGCGACGUCCUGGACCGGCAUUGACGCUGAGGCGCGAAAGCCAGGGGAGCAAAGCGGG
rnacentral:rRNA from 1 species